rnacentral:rRNA from 1 species
UUCCGGUUGAUCCCGCCGGACCCGACUGCUAUCAGAGUGGGACUAAGCCAUGCGAGUCAACGUAGAAAUACGUGGCGAACGGCUCAGUAACACGUAGUCAACAUGCCCAGAGGACGUGGAUAACCUCGGGAAACUGAGGAUAAACCGCGAUAGGCCAUGAUUUCUGGAAUGGUUUAUGGCUGAAAUCUAUAUGGCCUCUGGAUUGGACUGCGGCCGAUCAGGCUGUUGGUGAGGUAAUGGCCCACCAAACCUGUAACCGGUACGGGCUCUGAGAGGAGGAGCCCGGAGAUGGGCACUGAGACAAGGGCCCAGGCCCUAUGGGGCGCAGCAGGCGCGAAAUCUCUGCAAUAGGCGAAAGCUUGACAGGGUUACUCUGAGUGAUUCCCGCUAAGGGGAUCUUUUGGCACCUCUAAAAAUGGUGCAGAAUAAGGGGUGGGCAAGUCUGGUGUCAGCCGCCGCGGUAAUACCAGCACCCCGAGUGGUCGGGACGAUUAUUGGGCCUAAAGCAUCCGUAGCCGGUACUGCAAGUCUUCCGUUAAAUCCACCUGCUCAACAGUUGGGCUGCGGAGGAUACUACAGCGCUAGGAGGCGGGAGAGGCAAGCGGUACUCAGUGGGUAGGGGUAAAAUCCAUUGAUCCAUUGAAGACCACCAGUGGCGAAGGCGGCUUGCCAGAACGCGCUCGACGGUGAGGGAUGAAAGCUGGGGGAGCAAACCGGAUUAGAUACCCGGGUAGUCCCAGCUGUAAACGAUGCAGACUCGGUGAUGGGCUGGCCUUGUGCCAACCCAGUGCCGCAGGGAAGCCGUUAAGUCUGCCGCCUGGGGAGUACGGUCGCAAGACUGAAACUUAAAGGAAUUGGCGGG